rnacentral:rRNA from 1 species
GAAUGUAUGAGAAUACUACUUGGAUAACCGUAGUAAUUCUAGAGCUAAUACAUGCAACGACGCCCGACCGUUUCACUACGGAAGGGCUGUAUUUAUUGGAUACCAAAACCAUCCUUCCCUCGGGAAGUUUUGUUUGAUGAUUCACAAUAACUGAUCGGAUCGCCACUGUGGUGGCGACAGGUCAUUCAACAUUCUGCCCUAUCAGCUUUCGAUGGUUGUGUAGUGGACAACCAUGGCCAUAACGGGUAACGGAGAAUCAGGGUUCGAUUCCGGAGAAGGAGCUUGAGAAUUGGCUACUACAUCUAAGGAAGGCAGCAGGCGCGCAAAUUACCCAAUCCCGAUUCGGGGAGGUAGUGACAAAAAAUAACAAUACCGGGCCUUUUUGGGCUUGGUAAUUGGAAUGAGGGAGAGUUAAACGGACCAUCGAGUAUCCAUUGGAGGGCAAGUCUGGUGCCAGCAGCUGCGGUAAUACCAGCUCCAAUAGCGUAUAUUAAAGUUGUUGCAGUUAAAAAGCUCGUAGUUGGACUUGUGUGCGCUGUCCGCGGGUGGCCUGCGCCCAAAAGGGCGUUUCGGUUCGGCCCCGGUGGCGCCUUGAAAUCUGCAGCUGGGGGGACGUUGGCCUUAACUGGUCGGCGACCGCACGCCGGCUGCUCGGUUACUGUGAGAAAAUUAGAGUGUUCAAGGCAGGCAUUGGGUGCAAUUGAAUACAUUAGCAUGGAAUAAUAAAAUAUGGCUCCUGCCGUAUUUUGUUGGUUUUGACUGGUGGGAGUAAUGAUUGAUAGGGACGGUUGGGGGUGCUAGUAUUGAGCGGCCAGAGGUGAAAUUCAUGGAUUCGCUCAAGACUAACUUAUGCGAAAGCAUUCACCAAGGACGUCCUCUUUAAUCAAGAACGAAAGUUGGGGGAUCGAAGACGAUCAGAUACCGUCGUAGUCUCAACCAUAAACUAUGUCGACUUGGGAUCGGCGGUAGUUUUUUCAUUAAGACACUGUCGGGACCACGGGAGAAAUCAAAGUGUCUGGACUCUGGGGGAAGUAUGGUCGCAAGGCUGAAACUUGAAGGAAUUGACGGAAGGGCACCACCAGGAGUGGAGCCUGCGGCUUAAUUUGACACAACACGGGGAAACUUACCAGGUCCAGAGAUGUAGAGGAUUGACAGAUUGAAGCUCUUUCUUGAUCACUUCGGUGGUGGUGCAUGGCCGUUCUUAGUUGGUGGAGUGAUUUGUCAGGUUAAUUCCGUUAACGAACGAGACCUCAGCCUGCUAGUGUAGUCGGCUGG